rnacentral:tRNA from 3 species
GGGCGAGUGGCGGAAUUGGCAGACGCACAUGGCUUAGGACCAUGCGAGGAAACUCUUGGAGGUUCAAGUCCUCUCUCGCCCACCA